rnacentral:rRNA from 1 species
GAUGAACGCUGGCGGCGUGCCUAAUACAUGCAAGUCGAGCGAACAGACGAGGAGCUUGCUCCUCUGACGUUAGCGGCGGACGGGUGAGUAACACGUGGAUAACCUACCUAUAAGACUGGGAUAACUGCGGGAAACCGGAGCUAAUACCGGAUAAUAUAUUGAACCGCAUGGUUCAAUAGUGAAAGACGGUUUUGCUGUCACUUAUAUAUGGAUCCGCGCCGCAUUAGCUAGUUGGUAAGGUAACGGCUUACCAAGGCAACGAUGCGUAGCCGACCUGAGAGGGUGAUCGGCCAAACUGGAACUGAGACACGGUCCAGACUCCUACGGGAGGCAGCAGUAGGGAAGCUUCCGCAAUGGGCGAAAGCCUGACGGAGCAACGCCGCGUGAGUGAUGAAGGUCUUCGGAUCGUAAAACUCUGUUAUUAGGGAAGAACAAAUGUGUAAGUAACUAUGCACGUCUUGACGGUACCUAAUCAGAAAGCCACGGCUAACUACGUG